UACGUAGGGGGCAAGCGUUGUUCGGAAUUACUGGGCGUAAAGCGCGAUUAGGCGGUUUGAAAAGUCAGAUGUGAAAGCCCCGGGCUCAACUUGGGAACUGCAUUUGAUACUGUCAGACUAGAGUACAGAAGAGGUGACUGGAAUUCCCAGUGUAGCGGUGAAAUGCGUAGAUAUCGAGAGGAACACCUGCGGCGAAGGCGGGUUGCUGGGCUGACACUGACGCUGAAGCGCGAAAGCUAGGGGAGCGAACGGG
rnacentral:rRNA from 1 species